rnacentral:rRNA from 1 species
ACGCUCGACACCUACGGGUGGCAGCAGUAGGGAAUCUUCCACAAUGGGCGCAAGCCUGAUGGAGCAACACCGCGUGAGUGAAGAAGGGUUUCGGCUCGUAAAGCUCUGUUGUUGGAGAAGAACGUGCGUGAGAGUAACUGUUCACGCAGUGACGGUAUCCAACCAGAAAGUCACGGCUAACUACGUGCCAGCAGCCGCGGUAAUCUGAGCGGGCUGGCAAGGC